ACGAACGCUGGCGGCAUGCCUAACACAUGCAAGUCGAGCGAGACCUUCGGGUCUAGUGGCGCACGGGUGCGUAACGCGUGGGAACCUGCCCUUAGGUUCGGAAUAACUCCCCGAAAGGGGUGCUAAUACCGGAUAAUGUCUUCGGACCAAAGAUUUAUCGCCUUUGGAUGGGCCCGCGUUGGAUUAGCUAGUUGGUAGGGUAAAAGCCUACCAAGGCGACGAUCCAUAGCUGGUCUGAGAGGAUGAUCAGCCACACUGGGACUGAGACACGGCCCAGACUCCUACGGGAAGCAGCAGUGGGGAAUAUUGGACAAUGGGCGAAAGCCUGAUCCAGCAAUGCCGCGUGAGUGAUGAAGGCCUUAGGGUUGUAAAGCUCUUUUACCCGGGAUGAUAAUGACAGUACCGGGAGAAUAAGCUCCGGCUAACUCCGUG
rnacentral:rRNA from 1 species